rnacentral:sRNA from 1 species
UUAAAGAAUGCGAAAAUAAGCAGCCACAGGUUGAAGAAGAAAUGGAGAAGCACAGAAGUAAUAGCACAGAAUUAUCAGGAACCCUAACUGAUGGUACUACUUUUGGCAAUGAUGAUGAUGGACUAAAUCAGCAGAUUCCUAGGAAGGAAAAUGGAGAGCAUGACAG